rnacentral:rRNA from 1 species
CCCUUAGAUGUUCUGGGCCGCACGCGCGCUACACUGAUCAGUGCAACAAGCAUCCGUCCUUGGCCGACAGGCCCGGGCAAUCUUUGAACGCUGAUCGUGAUGGGGAUAGACUUUUGCAAUUUUUGGUCUUCAACGAGGAAUUCCUAGUAAACGCAAGUCAUCAACUUGCAUUGAUUACGUCCCUGCCCUUUGUACACACCGCCCGUCGCACCUACCGAUUGAAUGGUCCGGUGAAGGCUUCGGAGGCGGCUUUCUCAAUGUUUAUUCGGCGAGACUGCUGCCAAAGUUGAAUGAACCUUACCAUUUAGAGGAAGGUGAANUCGUAACA